rnacentral:rRNA from 1 species
GACGAACGCUGGCGGCGUGCCUAAUACAUGCAAGUAGAACGCUGAAGGAGGAGCUUGCUCUUCUGGAUGAGUUGCGAACGGGUGAGUAACGCGUAGGUAACCUGCCUGGUAGCGGGGGAUAACUAUUGGAAACGAUAGCUAAUACCGCAUAAGAGUAGCUGUUGCAUGACAUUUACUUAAAAGGUUCAAUUGCAUCACUACCAGAUGGACCUGCGUUGUAUUAGCUAGUUGGUGGGGUAACGGCUUACCAAGGCGACGAUACAUAGCCGCCCUGCGAGGGGGGUCAGCCACCCUGGGACUGUGACACGGCCCAGACUCCUACGGGAGGCAGCCGUAGGGAAUCUUCGGCAAUGGGCGGAAGUCUGACCGAGCAACGCCGCGUGAGUAAAGAAGGUUUUCGGAUCGUAAAGCUCUGUUGUCAGAGUAGAACGAGUGUGAGAGUGGAAAGUUCACACUGUGACGGUAUCUUACCAGAAAGCGACGGCUAACUACGUG